rnacentral:rRNA from 1 species
UCCUACGGGAGGCAGCAGUGGGGAAUUUUGGACAAUGGGGGCAACCCUGAUCCAGCAAUGCCGCGUGUGUGAAGAAGGCCUUCGGGUUGUAAAGCACUUUUGUCCGGAAAGAAAUCGCGCUGGCUAAUACCUGGCGUGGAUGACGGUACCGGAAGAAUAAGCACCGGCUAACUACGUGCCAGCAGCCGCGGUAAU